rnacentral:lncRNA from 1 species
CAUCUGUUCAUUUUUUCCCCUCUGGUAUAUUAUCACAGCUACAGAAACAAACAAAACUAGUGCCUAGUGCCAACUGAUAAAUCUAAAAACAGCUCCUGCAGCAAAGCUCAUGAUCCUCAUGGAAGAGGGGACACAGAGACUGUAAGAGCCAUAAGGUCAGGGAGUUUGCUGUGAGACUGUCUCCUAAUGUUAGAUAAGCUACACCCAUGAAGUCUCAUCAACAUGGCUGCCUAAAUAAGACCCAAACAAGGACAACACCAACAGAUAUGAUGGCCUCAGCACUACACAAAGAACUACUGACAACCAAGGAAUGACGAGAUUGGGAGAAACAGCAGAUGCCAAUUUGUAUCCAACCAAUACCAAGUGGCAUCACUGGGAAUCUUGGAACAUGUUCCUGCAGAUAUGGGGAACCUACCACACCAGCACAGAAGGGGCUCAAUUCUCUAUGUGCCAGCCUUGUCUAAAAGUGUUUUGAGUUGCAAGCAGACGUGAAUGGCUAUCAGAGUUCACUCACAUUUACCCACAGUAGGUAUUCUUACCUGAUAAAACACAGUGCCUGUGUGCCUUGUUUUGUUUGCAAAGAGAUUUCCUAUGUACCUUGAGAUAGGGAUUUGAACCAAUUUGUUCAGCUUGUUUCAAAGCAUGUCUGGCUCAAUAUAAGCAGUUCAGACCAUUGACACUCAAUAUAAGCAACUCAGUCUGAUGGUAUCCCCCAAAGACUCCCCUUGAUUUCCAGUGUUAUGACAUCAGCCAAGACAGCUCUGUUUUGUUUAAGUUUAACCAAGAAAUGACAUUCAUCAAACCUUUAAAAAUUCAGACUUACAAAAGUUUGAAAAUAACUGUUCAUGUCAAACGAGUAGGCAUUAAACCAUGAAAGUGUCAACUGGCCAGUACCCCAUCCUCUC